CCUACGGGGGACAGCAGUGAGGAAUAUUGGUCAAUGGGCGCAAGUCUGAACCAGCCAUGCCGCGUGCAGGAAGACUGCUCUAUGGGUUGUAAACUUCUUUUAUACAAGGGUAAAGCUAGACACGUGUAUUCAUCUGAAUGUACUUUACGAAUAAGGAUCGGCUAACUCCGUGCCAGCAGCCGCGGUAAUACGGAGGAUCCGAGCGUUAUCCGGAUUUAUUGGGUUUAAAGGGUGCGUAGGUGGGUUGUUAAGUUAGUUGUGAAAUGUUGGGGCUUAACCCGGGAACUGCAUUUGAUACUGGCGGUCUAGAGUGUAGUUGAGGUAGGCGGAAUGCAUGGUGUAGCGGUGAAAUGCUUAGAGAUCACGCAGAACUCCGAUUGCGAAGGCAGCUUACCAAUCUAUCUCUGACGUUGAGGCACGAAAGCGUGGGUAGCAAACAGGAUUAGAUACCCUAGUAGUC
rnacentral:rRNA from 1 species